rnacentral:rRNA from 1 species
UGGCGUACGGGUGAGUAACACGUGGAUCAUCUACCCUAGAGUGGGGAAUAACGCUGGGAAACCGGCGCUAAUACCGCAUAAUCCCGAGAGGGCAAAGGAAGCAAUUCCGCUUCAGGAGGAGUCCGCGGCCGAUUAGCUUGUUGGCAGGGUAAAAGCCUACCAAGGCAUCGAUCGGUAGCCGGCCUGAGAGGGCACACGGCCACACUGGCACUGAAACACGGGCCAG